AUGGGAGGAACGGAAGAAGAAGUUAAACAUGAAGAAGAGGUUGAGGUCGAUAAGAAGGAUAAGAAGGAAAAAAAAGAGAAAAAGAAGAAGAACCCUGAAGAUAAAAAGGAUCCUACAAUGCUUAAGCAAAAGCUUGAAAAGUUAGAUGCCAAGAUACAGGUUAUGGUGGCUAAGAGAGAAGAGAUUUUGAAGCUACUGAAAGAAGCUGAAACAAAUCCAACUGAACCUCCUGCAGCUUAG